rnacentral:rRNA from 1 species
UUUAUGGAGAGUUUGAUCCUGGCUCAGGAUGAACGCUGGCGGCGUGCCUAAUACAUGCAAGUCGAGCGAACUGACGAGGAGCUUGCUCCUUUGACGUUAGCGGCGGACGGGUGAGUAACACGUGGGUAACCUACCUAUAAGACUGGAAUAACUCCGGGAAACCGGGGC